UACGGGGGGGGGCAAGCGUUGUUCGGAAUUACUGGGCGUAAAGGGCUCGUAGGCGGCCAACUAAGUCAUACGUGAAAUCCCUCGGCUUAACCGGGGAACUGCGUCUGAUACUGGAUGGCUUGAGGUUGGGAGAGGGAUGCGGAAUUCCAGGUGUAGCGGUGAAAUGCGUAGAUAUCUGGAGGAACACCGGUGGCGAAGGCGGCAUCCUGGACCAAUUCUGACACUGAGGAGCGAAAGCCAGGGGAGCAAACGGG
rnacentral:rRNA from 1 species